CCCUUAGAUGUUCUGGGCCGCCCGCGCGCUACACUGAUGCAUUCAACGAGUGUACCUUGGCCGAGAGGCCUGGGCAAUCUUUUGAACGUGCAUCGUGAUAGGGAUAGAUUAUUGCAAUUAUUAAUCUUGAACGAGGAAUUCCUAGUAAACGCAGAUCAUCAAUCUGCAUUGAUUACGUCCCUGCCCUUUGUACACACCGCCCGUCGCACCUACCGAUUGGAUGGUCCGGUGAAGCCUCGGGAUUGUGGCGGUUGCCUUUAUUGGUGGCCGCCGCGAGAACUUGUCUAAACCUUAUCAUCUAGAGGAAGGUGAANUCGUAACA
rnacentral:rRNA from 1 species